rnacentral:rRNA from 1 species
AACGUAGGUGGCGAGCGUUAUCCGGAUUUACUGGGCGUAAAGCGUGUGCAGGCGGGGGGAUAAGUGGUGUAUGAAAUUUCCCAGCUUAACUGGGAGGGGUUAUGCCAGACUGUCACUCUAGAGUGCGAGAGAGGAACGUGGAAUUCCGGGUGUAGUGGUGAAAUGCGCAGAUAUCGAGAGGAACACCGGUGGCGAAGGCGGCCUUCUGGACAGCGACUGACGCUGAGACGCGAAAGCGUAGGGAGCAAACAGG